CAGCGAAGGGCAACAAAAAUGAUUAGGGGUCUGGAACACAUGAGCUAUGAGGGAAGAAUGAAAAAACUGGAUUUGUUUUGUUUGGAGGAAAAAAGAUUUAGGGGGGACAUAAUAACAAUUUUCAAGAACGUAAAAGGUUGUUACAAGGAGGAGGGAGAAAAAAUGUUCUCCCUAAGUUCUGAGGAUAGGACACGAAGCAAUGGGCUUAAAUUGCAGCAAGGGCAGCUUAGGUUGG